rnacentral:rRNA from 1 species
AUUGAACGCUGGCGGCAUGCCUUACACAUGCAAGUCGAACGGUAACAGGUUAAGCUGACGAGUGGCGAACGGGUGAGUAAUGUAUCGGAACGUGCCCAGUCGUGGGGGAUAACUGCUCGAAAGAGCAGCUAAUACCGCAUACGACCUGAGGGUGAAAGCGGGGGAUCGCAAGACCUCGCGCGAUUGGAGCGGCCGAUAUCAGAUUAGGUAGUUGGUGAGGUAAAGGCUUACCAAGCCGACGAUCUGUAGCUGGUCUGAGAGGACGACCAGCCACACUGGGACUGAGACACGGCCCAGACUCCUACGGGAGGCAGCAGUGGGGAAUUUUGGACAAUGGGCGCAAGCCUGAUCCAGCCAUGCCGCGUGCGGGAAGAAGGCCUUCGGGUUGUAAACCGCUUUUGUCAGGGAAGAAAAGGUUCUGGCUAAUACCUGGGACUCAUGACGGUACCUGAAGAAUAAGCACCGGCUAACUACGUG